UAUCCUACGGGACGCAGCAGGGAAUAUUGCACAAUGGGGGAAACCCUGAUGCAGCGACGCCGCGUGAGUGAAGAAGUAAUUCGUUAUGUAAAGCUCUAUCAGCAGGGAAGAAAAUGACGGUACCUGAGUAAGAAGCCCCGGCUAAAUACGUGCCAGCAGCCGCGGUAAUACGUAUGGUGCAAGCGUUAUCCGGAUUUACUGGGUGUAAAGGGAGCGCAGGCGGCACGGCAAGCCUGAUGUGAAAGCCCGCGGCCCAACCGCGGGACUGCAUUGGGAACUACCGGGCUGGAGUGCCGGAGAGGUAG
rnacentral:rRNA from 1 species